CGGGGUGUAGCGCAGUUGGCUAGCGCGCUACUUUAGGGAAGUAGAGGUCGCAAGUUCAAGUCUUGUCACUCCGA
rnacentral:tRNA from 1 species